GGGCGCGCCCCUGCGCCGGCGUCGGUGCGCGCCCCUCCUCCGCCCUGCCGGGGCCGCGCCGCGCGCGCCGGCUCUGGGCGGGGCCCUGCAGUGGCAGCCGGCUGCUCCCCCCGCCGCUCCGCCUCCUCCUUCCCGGGUCCUCCCCGAUUUCCCCCUCGGGCGCUCUCGCGCUAACUCUGCUCUCCUGGGCCCCGUCCGCCCGCUCCCAGCCAUGGUGGCCUGGCGCUCAGCGUUCCUCAUCUGCCUCGCUUUCUCCUUGGCCACUCUGGUCCAGAGAGGCUCCGGGGACAAUGAUGAUUUCUAUCCAAGGGAAACGUCCUCAGCAAAGCGAGCCGUGUGAGUCAUAUGGCGUCUACGCUAAUAUUACAUAAGUGGCCGUUGCUUUUCUGAAAGUUGCUCAAAUCAUGGUUUCACUGAUAGAAUUUCUUUUUUCUGACUCUACGUGUCACCAUAAUAUAAGAUACGCGUAAAGAGCCUCACGUAGACAGAGUGACUCUUCGGAGGCCUCAAGGACCAAGACGGGGUGCUGUCCUCAUGCUGUGACUUCCCUGAGCCGUGCAGUGGCUCCUGUAUUUUGUUCCUAAAUGCGCUCCCCUUGCUGUCCCCCUCCCCUGUUUUAGAGAGAUGGGACCGCGUCACCACGACAACCAAGAGACCUGGAGUGACCAGGGCUCCAGCAAAGCCUGCAGGCAGUGAUUUUGACUUGGCUGAUGCCUUGGAUGGAAACGAUCAAGACGAUGGCCGCAGGAAACCGAGUCCAGGAGGAGGAGUGGAAGAGCUGGACUCUCACAUCUGCUUCUGGACUCCGUUGUGACAUGUUGUUAUGGUUGAUGCAUACGAAGGAAAUCCGGCCUCAUAUCGAUACGCAGUUGAGAAGAGGAAGACUAUUGUAAUAGCCUUUUCAUGUCAUUGAUUCGUGUAAUUUGCCUUUGGUUUUUCGGACAAGGAUCUUGAAGACAUCUUAGGGGGCGGCGAAUACAGACCUGACAAGGGUAAAGGUGAUGCCGGGUAUGGCAGCAACGGUGACUCGGAAUCCGGAAUGUCGGCAGAGACCGGCACCAUCGCCGGCGUGGCCAGCGCUCUGGCCAUGGCUCUCAUCGGCGCCGUGUCCAGCUACAUCUCCUACCAGCAGAAGAAGUUCUGCUUCAGCAUUCAGCGUAAGUGGCUCUGCCCCGCGGCCCCUUGCGGCUGUGCCCUCCCGUUCCUGUCCGUGACCCCCUGGGGACAGACGCAGGCCAGACGGAAGCGUGAACCAGCCCGGAAGGGAGGAUUGGGCUGGACUCAAUGACGUUGAUCUUCCGAGGGGUUCAGCUCCCGGAAGCCCAAGUGACCCCUGGGUUUCUCCCUGAAUUUCCCCGAGGCUCGGGGUCGCACCCCAGGGGCCGGGGGCCGUUGGAGGCAGAAGGCAGUGUCGCCGGGGUCUCAGAGCCCGCAGUGGCACCGUGGGGCAAGCCAGCGCCCACCAUCCCCUCCGGUCCCAGGAGGAUCAGGCAGCGUAUGGAGUCGAGAAUGGUUUUAAAGGAGCCGGGAUGUAGGGGGAAGACGCGCCUGUGGUCCCCACCUGUCCACAGCAGCUUGGUGACACAGGGCUGCUUCGGCUGUAGCUGCGGGGCUCUCUGUGGCGCAUAGACGGAAUAGUUACUUAUGUGGGAUGUCUCCCAGGAGCCUGUGUUGGGGGAGCCCGUGGGGGACCCUGUCGAGAGUGAACGAGACCACGCUCGGUGGCUUUAUAAGCACAGCGCAGAUGUGUCGCUGUUUGAUGAGCCUCGCUGAAGACGGGCGAUUGUUAGUUCAAGUGGGAGAAGUCGUCCCCUGUGAGCCCCCCCACCCCCGCCCCGGCCUUGCUCUGGGCCUGGAGUGGAGCUUCUCGGAAGACAGACUUGGGUCCCAGAAUGCUUUGCGUGUGUGUGUAGAGCUGGUUUUUUCAUCUGGCCUCAUGUUUGCUGCCUUGCUUCUUGUACCGUGUUCAUGACCGGGGCCGCCGCAGAGAGCGCCGCAGGCUCCAGAGACACCGUUCACAUCUCAGUGCACAGCCUGCACAUCUGCUCCAGUGGCCCUGCUGGGGGGUCCUGUCCCGCCCGCCACAGUGGAUCCAGAAGCUUGGCUUGUGGCGUCGGGUGAGAGGAGGAGUCCCAGGGAGCGCAGAGCUGGAGGCCGCGUUGGCCUUAGGCCUUUGCUCAAAAGCAAAGAAACUGAGUGGCUCAAAACCUAUUUAUUCUCUUCCAGUUGUGGAGGCCAGAAGUCCAAGGUCAGGGGGUCAGCGGGGCGGGUCCCCCUCUGGGGGAGGGUGCUUCCCUCUUCCUCCAGCUUGCUGCUGCCUCUGUCUGCAGGUGGCUUCUCCUCUGUCAUCUUCUGUCUCUUAAAAGGGCACUUGUCAUUGGAUGUCAGACCCACCCUAAAUCCAGGCUGAUCUUAUCUCAAGAUCCUUCAGUUCAUUAGCUCUGCAAAGACCGUUUUCCCAAAUAACGCCACGUCCACAGGUUCCAGGGACGAGAGCGUGGCCUUAUCCCUCAGGCGCCACCAUUCACCCCGGUUCAGCAUCAUAUCCCAGCAGUGAGAUGGGACUUUAGAAUGCACGUUGGGUACGAGAGACUAAAGGCUGGGCCUAAAGUUAGAGUAAGAAUGGCUUCCUGGGCACUGCACGCUGCCCCUGCCUGCCCUGGCCCGACAGGGCAGCUGCCACGGCGCCCUCCUUCAUGCCGCGGGGACGAGCCUGAGGGGGCUGUUGAAGGAACUCGCUCCAGAUGGGAAGCAAUGGAUCCGGGCUGGAAGGCAAAGCGGGGAACUAGGAGGGGCGGGAAGAAAGGUUAAUUUCCAGAGAUGCAAACUGUUGCCUUUGGAGUGGCUAAGCGCUGAGAGCCGGCCGUGUAGCACAGGGAACUCGAUCUAGUCGCUUAGGAUGGAGCAUGAUCAUGUGAGGAAAAAGAAUGCGUACGUGGAUGUGGGACUGGGUCAGCUGGCCGUACAGUCGAAAGCUGACAGAACACCGUAAACCAGCUCUGAUGGAAAAAAUAAUCAUCAUUAAAAAACAAAAAAAAAA
rnacentral:lncRNA from 1 species